GCAUUGUAGAUGAGGGUGCUGGGAAGGCUUCUCCAUCAGCUUGGAUGAAUAAAGUUUUGAAGUCCUUGGAGCCUCCUGCAGAUGUGUCUACAGGGAAGACUUCUCCAGCUUCUCCAGCUGCUACCUUGGAUGCUGCACUCAAGCCCAGCUCCCAUCUCAGGGGUGAGUAGUGUGUCCCUGCUGACCCCACAGGCUGAACCCUGCUUUUCUGGGAUCCAUUCCUGGGAAAUGGAAAUAUUUUUCUCUAAGGUACUCCAACAGGGAAAAUCCAAGAUACAACAGAUAAGAUAUCCCUGGAACCAUCCAAACAGAUGAGGCAAGAGCUGAAGGAACCCCUGCAGACAAGAGAAGAGAUGGACAUAGUGCUUCAGUGGAAGGUGAUAUUUCUUGAAGGAAGCACUCCAUCUUCGGUGCCAGCCCCUUCUGCAGGAAGGAAGGCAAAGCCAGACACGGGCACAGGCACAGCAGACUGGGAUGCUGGGAAGGAUUCUCCAUUAGCCUGGCGCUCUGAAGUUGUGAAGCCCUCUGAGCAUUCUGCAGGCGUAUCUGCAGGGACGACCUCACCAACUCCUACCUUGGAUGCUGCACAAAAGGCCAGCUCCCAUGGCAGGGGUGAGUAGUGUGUCCCUGCCCACCCCUCUGGCUGAGCCCUGCUUUUGUGGGGUCCAUUCCUGGGAAAUGGAACUACUUUCUCUUAAGGUCCUCUGACAGGAAAGACCAAAGACAUGGCAGGCAGGAAAUUCCAGGACCCAUUAGAAAUCAUGUGGCAAAUGCUGAAGGAACGUCUGCAGAGAA